rnacentral:rRNA from 1 species
GGCUUAACACAUGCAAGUCGAGCGGAACACUUUCGGGUGUUUAGCGGCAGACGGGUGAGUAACACGUAUCCAACCUUUCCCUUACUCGGGUAUAGCCUCGGGAAACUGAGAGUAAUCCCCGAUGUGGUGCACGGAAAGCAUUUUUUGCGCACGAAAGAUUAAUCGGUAAGGGGUGGGGAUGCGUUCCAUUAGGUAGUAGGCGGGGUAACGGCCCACCUAGCCGAUGAUGGAUAGGGGUUCUGAGAGGAAGGUCCCCCACAUUGGAACUGCGACACGGUCCAAACUCCUACGGGAGGCAGCAGUGAGGAAUAUUGGUCAAUGGGCGAGAGCCUGAACCAGCCAAGUAGCGUGCAGGAUGACGGCCCUAUGGGUUGUAAACUGCUUUUGUGCGGGAAUAACGGUCUUUACGUGUAGAGAUGUGCAUGUACCGUACGAAUAAGGAUCGGCUAACUCCGUGCCAGCAGCCGCGGUAAUACGGAGGAUCCGAGCGUUAUCCGGAUUUAUUGGGUUUAAAGGGAGCGUAGGCGGAGGAUCAAGUCAGUUGUGAAAUGUAGGCGCUUAACGUCUGCACUGCAGUUGAAACUGGUUCCCUUGAGUGCGUAAGAGGCAGGCGGAAUUCGUCGUGUAGCGGUGAAAUGCUUAGAUAUGACGAAGAACUCCGAUCGCGAAGGCAGCUUGCCGGGCCGCAACUGACGCUGAAGCUCGAAGGUGCGGGUAUCGAACAGGAUUAGAUACCCUGGUAGUCCGCACAGUAAACGAUGGAUACUCGCUGUCGGCGAUAUACGGUCGGUGGCCAAGCGAAAGCGUUAAGUAUCCCACCUGGGGAGUACGCCGGCAACGGUGAAACUCAAAGGAAUUGACGGGGCCCGCACAAGCGGAGGAACAUGUGGUUAAUUCGAUGAUACGCGAGGAACCUUACCCGGGCUUGAUUGCUAGCGGCGGUUACUGGAGACAGUUUCUUCCUUCGGGACGCUAGUGAAGGUGCUGCAUGGUUGUCGUCAGCUCGUGCCGUAAGGUGUCGCCUCAGUGCCAUAACGAACGCAACCCUUGCCGUUAGUUGCCAUCAGGUAUGCUGGGCUCUCUAUUCGGACUGGCUAUCGAAGAAUGUGAGAAUGUGGGGAUGAACUCAACUACAUGCCCUAUGUGCGGAGCUCCACCGUUCAUAGCGGUGACAG